rnacentral:rRNA from 1 species
GAUGAACGCUGGCGGCGCGCCUAACACAUGCAAGUCGAACGGAGAUCAUUUGGUAGAAGUUUUCGGAUGGACACCGGGUGAUCUUAGUGGCGAACGGGUGAGUAACGCGUGAGCAAUCUGCCUCAGAGUGGGGGACAACAGUUGGAAACGACUGCUAAUACCGCAUAAGCCCACAGCACCGCAUGGUGCAGGGGGAAAAGAUUUAUUGCUUUGAGAUGAGCUCGCGUCCAAUUAGCUAGUUGGUGAGGUAACGGCCCACCAAGGCAACGAUUGGUAGCCGGACUGAGAGGUUGAACGGCCACAUUGGGACUGAGAUACGGCCCAGACUCCUACGGGAGGCAGCAGUGGGGAAUAUUGCACAAUGGAGGAAACUCUGAUGCAGCCAUGCCGCGUGUGUGAAGAAGGCCUCGGUU